rnacentral:rRNA from 1 species
UGGCGGACGGGUGAGUAACGCGUGGGUAACCUGCCUCGUACAGGGGGAUAACAGUUAGAAAUGACUGCUAAUACCGCAUAAGCGCACAGUACCGCAUGGUACGGUGUGAAAAACUCCGGUGGUAUGAGAUGGACCCGCGUCUGAUUAGGUAGUUGGUGGGGUAACGGCCUACCAAGCCGACGAUCAGUAGCCGACCUGAGAGGGUGACCGGCCACAUUGGGACUGAGACACGGCCCAA